UGAGGAAUAUUGCACAAUGGGGGAAACCCUGAUGCAGCAACGCCGCGUGGAGGAUGACGGUCUUUGGAUUGUAAACUCCUUUUCUGAGGGAAGAGACAGGACGGUACCUCAGGAAUAAGUCACGGCUAACUACGUGCCAGCAGCCGCGGUAAUACGUAGGUGACAAGCGUUAUCCGGAAUUACUGGGCGUAAAGCGUACGCAGGCGGUCUAUCAAGUUCGGCGUGAAAUCUCUUGGCUUAACUGGGAGCGGUCGUUGAAAACUGAUAGACUUGAGGCAAUGAGAGGGAUGCGGAAUUCCGGGUGUAGUGGUGGAAUGCGUAGAUAUCCGGAGGAACACCAGUGGCGAAAGCGGCAUUCUGGCAUUGUCCUGACGCUCAUGUACGAAAGCGUGGGUAGCGAACGGGAUUAGAUACCCCCGUAGUCC
rnacentral:rRNA from 1 species